UUGACCUCGGAUCAGGUAGGGAUACCCGUGA
rnacentral:rRNA from 1 species